rnacentral:rRNA from 1 species
AGCGAACGCUGGCGGCAGGCUUAACACAUGCAAGUCGAGCGGGCACUUCGGUGUCAGCGGCAGACGGGUGAGUAACACGUGGGAACGUGCCCUUCGGUUCGGAAUAACUCAGGGAAACUUGAGCUAAUACCGGAUACGCCCUUUGGGGGAAGGGUUAACGUUGCCGAACGGAAGUCGGCCCGGCCGUCUGAUUAGUCUAGUUGGUGGGGUAAGUAGGCCGUACCAAGGCGACGAUCAGUAGCUGGUCUGAGAGGA